UACCGCAUAACGUCGCAAGACCAAAGAGGGGGACCUUCAGGCCUCUUGCCAUCGGAUGUGCCCAGAUGGGAUUAGCUUGUUGGUGGGGUAACGGCUCACCAAGGCGACGAUCCCUAGCUGGUCUGAGAGGAUGACCGGCCACACUGGAACUGAGACACGGUCCAGACUCCUACGGGAGGCAGCAGUGGGGAAUAUUGCACAAUGGGCGCAAGCCUGAUGCAGCCAUGCCGCGUGUAUGAAGAAGGCCUUCGGGUUGUAAAGUACUUUCAGCGGGGAGGAAGGGAGUAAAGUUAAUACCUUUGCUCAUUGACGUUACCCGCAGAAGAAGCACCGGCUAACUCCGUGCCAGCAGCCGCGGUAAUACGGAGGGUGCAAGCGUUAAUCGGAAUUACUGGGCGUAAAGCGCACGCAGGCGGUUUGUUAAGUCAGAUGUGAAAUCCCCGGGCUCAACCUGGGAACUGCAUCUGAUACUGGCAAGCUUGAGUCUCGUAGAGGGGGGUAGAAUUCCAGGUGUAGCGGUGAAAUGCGUAGAGAUCUGGAGGAAUACCGGUGGCGAAGGCGGCCCCCUGGACGAAGACUGACGCUCAGGUGCGAAAGCGUGGGGAGCAAACGGGAUUAGAUACCCUGGUAGUCCACGCCGUAAACC
rnacentral:rRNA from 1 species